rnacentral:rRNA from 2 species
AGUGGCAGACGGGUGAGUAAUGUAUAGGAAUCUACCUAGUAGUACGGAAUAAUUGUUGGAAACGGCAACUAAUACCGUAUACGCCCUACGGGGGAAAAAUUUAUUGCUAUUAGAUGAGCCUAUAUUAGAUUAGUUAGUUGGUGAGGUAAAGGCUUACCAAGACAAUGAUCUAUAGCUGAUCUGAGAGGAUGAUCAGCCACACUGGAACUGAGAUACGGUCCAGACUCCUACGGGAGGCAGCAGUGGGGAAUAUUGGACAAUGGGCGAAAGCCUGAUCCAGCCAUGCCGCAUGAGUGAAGAAGGCCUUCGGGUUGUAAAGCUCUUUUAGUGAGGAAGAUAAUGACGGUACUCACAGAAGAAGUCCUGGCUAACUUCGUGCCAGCAGCCGCGGUAAUACGAAGGGGGCUAGCGUUGUUCGGAUUUACUGGGCGUAAAGCGCACGCAGGCGGAUAUUUAAGUCAGAGGUGAAAUCCCGGGGCUCAACCCUGGAAUUGCCUUUGAUACUGGGUAUCUGGAGUACAGAAGAGGUAAGUGGAAUUCCGAGUGUAGAGGUGAAAUUCGUAGAUAUUCGGAGGAACACCAGUGGCGAAGGCGGCUUACUGGUCUGUUACUGACGCUGANGUGCGAAAGCGUGGGGAGCAAACAGGAUUAGAUACCCUGGUAGUCCACGCCGUAAACGAUGGAAGCUAGCCGUCGGCAAGUUUACUUGUCGGUGGCGCAGUUAACGCAUUAAGCUUCCCGCCUGGGGAGUACGGUCGCAAGAUUAAAACU